AGAAAGAAUCGAGAGAAAGAAAAACAAAAAGAAAAUCAUGCAUGAGAAAGGAAAACAAAAGGAAAAGAGAGUUGAGUUGAGGGGUUGUUUUUGCUACCAUUCAAGAAGGGAAAGAGAGCCAUUUAAGGGCUGAUUUUGGAGGCUGGAAAGAGCUGUUUUUCUGCUGGUUUUGGAGGUUGGAAAGUGCCAUUUUUCUGCUGAUUUUGGAGGCCAAAAAGUGCAGAAUUUUGCAGCAGAAAAUUUAAGGUUUGAGUUGCUGUUUUAAUGGUUAAUUGUGGUUGUUUUGCCUACAAAUUUUUUGAAGGAAAGGUGCAACUUAGCUGCUAAAAUUUUAAGAAAAAACAGAGCAGCAUAGCUGCUGAUUUUGGAGCCAAAAUAAGCAGUUGUAGCUGCUGAAAAAUUGAGAGAUAAAAAGCUAGGAAGUGUGAUCGGUGGUGAGAGGGAGAGAAAGGAAGAGAAUGGAUGGUUUGUGCAUGUGAAGAGAAGAAAAAGGAAUACAACAAGGCUGCUAGACGAUGGAAGAGAAAGAAAGAAAGAAAAGAAAAGAAAAAAAAAAGAAAAGAAAAGAAAGGAAAAGAAAAUAACAAGGAAAGUGGGCAUGGCCCAACAAGCAAGGAAAAUUGGACAUGGUCCAAUAAAGGAAGGAUGGGCAUGACCCAAUUAAAAAGAAAUGGGAGAAGUCCAUGAAUAAGAGUCCAAAAACAACAAAGGAAGAAAAAUCCAAAAGAAAAGGAAGGUGGAGAUUUGGGCCAACCUAGCUUAAUUGGGAAAGCGUGUUGAACGAAGUAGGUGACGGGCAAUUAGGUAUAAUUAUACGCAUAUACGAAGUAAUAGCGAAGUGGAAAUCCCGCUAUUGUGAGGUUCAGAGUAGGCUGUUGAUAGCUGAUUCCAUCGAGGGCUUCUAUUGGAUUAGCGUCAUCCACACAGUAAGUUCAUAAUUUUCCUUAAUUCUGGUUAUUUGUGGGCACACUUGAUGUUGUAAAUUUAAAUUAAUUUAAAUACUCUAGUUUAUUGUGUUACAGUAAGAAUGAA